rnacentral:rRNA from 1 species
UACGAAGGGGGCUAGCGUUGCUCGGAAUCACUGGGCGUAAAGGGUGCGUAGGCGGGUCUUUAAGUCAGGGGUGAAAUCCUGGAGCUCAACUCCAGAACUGCCUUCGAUACUGUAGAGCUUGAGUUCGGGAGAGGUGAGUGGAACUGCGAGUGUAGAGGUGAAAUUCGUAGAUAUUCGCAAGAACACCGGUGGCGAAGGCGGAUCUCUGGGCCGAUACUGACGCUGAGGAGCGAAAGCGUGGGGAGCGAACAGG